rnacentral:rRNA from 1 species
UCAAGCGAAUAAGGGCUUAAGUUGGAUACCUUGGCAUUCAGAAGCGAUGAAGGGCGUGUCUACCGACGAAACGCUUCGGGGAGCUGGAAGUAAGCUUUGAUCCGGAGGUUCCCGAAUGAGGAAACUCUUUAAACUGCAUGUUCAAUUAAUAGACAUGUAAGAGCGAACCUGGUGAAUUGAAACAUCUCAGUAACCAGAGGAAAAGAAAGCAAAAGCGAUUCCCACAGUAGCGGCGAGCGAAAAGGGAACAGCCUAAACUACUAAAUACGUAGGGUUGUGGGACAGCAUAAAAAAGACGACUCAAAGUUAAGUGAAGCAUUUGGAA